AGAGUGGCAGCGUGUUGAGUAAUGCCCAGGGUCCCGAUGGCCGCAAGAAGGGGUGUGUCCUUUUCCGGUUUUGCUGACCCCUGCGAAUUCCCCAAAUGUGGGAAUCUCGACUGCAUAAUUUGUGGUAGUGGGGGACUGCGUUCGCGCUCUCCCCUG